GGGAAAUCACAAUUGUGAUCAAAGCGACGUUGUAAGCGUAGUCUGUGGAGGUGUAUCUCAUGGGGACGUUCGACUUGUUAAUGGAUAUACUAUAUAUGAAGGAAGGGUUGAAAUGUAUUACAACGGGAAUUGGGCAUCUGUGUGCAAUGACGGUUGGAAUUUUAAGGAUGCGAAUGUGGUGUGUAAG